rnacentral:rRNA from 1 species
ACGGGGUGCAGCAGGCGCGAAACCUUCACAAUGCACGAAAGUGUGAUGAGGGUACUCCGAGUGCGCAUACAUUGUAUGUGCUUUUCUGCAGCGUAAAUAGUUGCAGGAAUAAGGGCUGGGCAAGACCGGUGCCAGCCGCCGCGGUAACACCGGCAGCCCUAGUGGUGGCCGCUUUUAUUGGGCCUAAAGCGUCCGUAGCCGGACAGGCGAGUCUUUGGGUAAAUCCUACGUCUUAAGCGUGGGAAUUCUAAAGAUACUACCUGUCUUGAGGCCGGGAGAGGCUGGAGGUACUCCUGGGGUAGGGGUAAAAUCCUAUAAUCCUGGGGGGACCACCGAUGGCGAAGGCAUCCAGCUGGAACGGGCCUGACGGUGAGGGACGAAACCCAGGGGAGCGAGCCGGAUUAGAUACCCGGGUAGUCCUGGGCGUAAAUGAUGUGGGCUUGGUGUGAGCGCAUCGACGAGGUGCGCUUGUGCCGUAGGGAAGCCGUUAAGCCCACCGCCUGGGGAGUACGGUCGCAAGGCUGAAACUUAAAGGAAUGGCGGGGAG